rnacentral:rRNA from 1 species
UACGUAGGGGGCGAGCGUUGUCCGGAUUUAUUGGGCGUAAAGAGCUCGUAGGCGGUUUGGCAAGUCGGGUGUGAAAACUCCGGGCUCAACUCGGAGACGCCACUCGAUACUGCUAUGACUCGAGUCCGGUAGGGGAGUGCGGAAUUCCUGGUGCAGCGGUGAAAUGCGCAGAUAUCAGGAGGAACACCGGUGGCGAAGGCGGCACUCUGGGCCGGUACUGACGCUGAGGAGCGAAAGCGUGGGGAGCGAACAGG